rnacentral:rRNA from 1 species
CCUACGGGGGGCUGCAGUGGGGAAUAUUGCACAAUGGGCGCAAGCCUGAUGCAGCCAUGCCGCGUGUGUGGAGAAGGCCUUCGGGUUGUAAAGCACCUUCAGCGGGGAGGAAGGCGGUGAGGUUAAUAACCUCAUCGAUUGACGUUACCCGCAGAAGAAGCACCGGCUAACUCCGUGCCAGCAGCCGCGGUAAUACGGAGGGUGCAAGCGUUAAUCGGAAUUACUGGGCGUAAAGCGCACGCAGGCGGUCUGUCAAGUCGGAUGUGAAAUCCCCGGGCUCAGCCUGGGAACUGCAUUCGAAACUGGCAGGCUAGAGUCUUGUAGAGGGGGGUAGAAUUCCAGGUGUAGCGGUGAAAUGCGUAGAGAUCUGGAGGAAUACCGGUGGCGAAGGCGGCCCCCUGGACAAAGACUGACGCUCAGGUGCGAAAGCGUGGGGAGCAAACAGGAUUAGAUACCCGGGUAGUC